GCGGUCGUGGCGGAACUGGUAGACGCGCAGCGUUGAGGUCGCUGUGGCCGUAAGGCCGUGGAAGUUCGAGUCUUCUCGACCGCACCA
rnacentral:tRNA from 1 species